rnacentral:rRNA from 1 species
AUUGGGCGUAAAGAGCUCGUAGGCGUGCUUAACACAUGCAAGUCGAACGGUGAACUCCGCUUGCUCUUCUUGGAUGAGUUGCGAACGGGUGAGUAACGCGUAGGUAACCUGCCUUGUAGCGGGGGAUAACUAUUGGAAACGAUAGCUAAUACCGCAUAACAAUGGAUGACACAUGUCAUUUAUUUGAAAGGGGCAAUUGUUCCACUACAAGAUGGACCUGCGUUGUAUUAGCUAGUAGGUGAGGUAAUGGCUCACCUAGGCGACGAUACAUAGCCGACCUGAGAGGGUGAUCGGCCACACUGGGACUGAGACACGGCCCAGACUCCUACGGGAGGCAGCAGUAGGGAAUCUUCGGCAAUGGGGCAACCCUGACCGAGCAACGCCGCGUGAGUGAAGAAGGUUUCGGAUCGUAAAGCUCUGUUGUAAGUCAAGAAC